UACGGAGGGGGCUAGCGUUGUUCGGAAUCACUGGGCGUAAAGCGCGCGUAGGCGGCUUUGUAAGUUAGAGGUGAAAGCCCGGAGCUUAACUCCGGAACUGCCUUUAAGACUGCAUCGCUAGAAUCGUGGAGAGGUGAGUGGAAUUCCGAGUGUAGAGGUGAAAUUCGUAGAUAUUCGGAAGAACACCAGUGGCGAAGGCGACUCACUGGACACGUAUUGACGCUGAGGUGCGAAAGCGUGGGGAGCAAACAGG
rnacentral:rRNA from 1 species